rnacentral:rRNA from 1 species
AUGAACGCUAGCGGGAGGCCUAACACAUGCCAGCCGAGCGGUAGAGUCUCUUCGGAGACUUGAGAGCGGCGCACGGGUGCGGAACACGUGUGCAACCUGCCUUUAUCUGGGGGAUAGCCUUUCGAAAGGAAGAUUAAUACCCCAUAAUAUACUGGAUGGCAUCAUCUGGUAUUGAAAACUCCGGUGGAUAGAGAUGGGCACGCGCAAGAUUAGAUAGUUGGUGAGGUAACGGCUCACCAAGUCAGCGAUCUUUAGGGGGCCUGAGAGGGUGAUCCCCCACACUGGUACUGAGACACGGACCAGACUCCUACGGGAGGCAGCAGUGAGGAAUAUUGGACAAUGGGUGAGAGCCUGAUCCAGCCAUCCCGCGUGAAGGACGACGGCCCUAUGGGUUGUAAACUUCUUUUGUAUAGGGAUAAACCUAGAUACGUGUAUCUAGCUGAAGGUACUAUACGAAUAAGCACCGGCUAACUCCGUG